rnacentral:misc_RNA from 1 species
GCUGUCUUGUUAUCUCUCUAUUUUUCCUUUCAAUCAAUCGCAUGCAGUAGAUCUGGUUGUUAUUUCCGUAGAUCUGUUCUUUGAUUUUUAUUUUCCGCUCUGUUUUAAUUUUGAUUCUUCAUUCUUUGCUAAUUGUUUUUCAAAGGCUUAUGAGGGCAAAUUAUUGUUGCUUUCCUUUAUAUUUCAAAGGGUGUUUUAAGGAUGGUUUGGGGAAUUUUUAAGAUAUGUAUCAUUAUGUUGUUGCAAUUGUAUAAAUGUUUUUGAUUGCAAAGCAGAAAUGGCCGAUGUAUAAAAUAGUAACAAGGAAAUUUGGUGAGGAAAUUAGGAAAUAUCGGUGAAAGUUGAAGAAUAUUGGAUUAUUAGUUGAUUCAUAAAUGUAAAUCGUCUUGCAUGUUGACUCUGAAGUUUUUUUUUUCUUUUCUUUUCCCACAAUAGUUUUGUUGUAAAUGGGCUAAUUUUUCAUUGAAUUCUUGACUGCCUUUGCUGAACUUAAGUUGAUGAUUAACCUUCUGAUUUUUAUUUACCUAAUGUGGUUAAAUGUUCUCAGGCCAUAUGAGGCCCAUCUUCUG